rnacentral:rRNA from 1 species
GUGCCAGCAGCCGCGGUAAUACGUAGGGGGCAAGCGUUAUCCGGAUUCAUUGGGCGUAAAGCGCGCGUAGGCGGUCUGUUAGGUCAGGAGUUAAAUCUGGGGGCUCAACCCCUAUCCGCUCCUGAUACCGGCAGGCUUGAGUCUGGUAGGGGAAGAUGGAAUUCCAAGUGUAGCGGUGAAAUGCGCAGAUAUUUGGAAGAACACCGGUGGCGAAGGCGGUCUUCUGGGCCAUGACUGACGCUGAGGCGCGAAAGCUAGGGGAGCGAACAGGAUUAGAUACCCUGGUAGUCCUAGCUGUAAACGAUGGACACUAGGUGUGGGGAGAUUAUACUUUCCGUGCCGCAGCUAACGCAUUAAGUGUCCCGCCUGGGGAGUACGGUCGCAAGACUAAAACUUAAAGGAAUUGACGG